CCUCUCUCCUUGCAAGCUCCCCAGCUUGGUCCCCAGCGCCACCGCCUCCGCCGCGGGUCAGGUCUGUCCUAUUGGGCGGAGACUCCCAGGUGACCUGGAAGCCCUUGCCCGGGGGGUGGAGCCGGAACCGAGCACCUGCAGUUCCGCCUCUUUCCAUCAGGGGGCGCGCCAGCACCGUUUCUUGCAACGGCUGUCCAAAUCCUGCCUGACUCCCUGCCCUUUCCGGCCAGCUUUCAGAAAGGCCAGAUAAAAGCUGGGGCAACUCGCGGGCUCCGCCAAUGAGGUAUACAAGGCUGAUUCCUAAGAGGAUGCUGUCUCCAGGGAGAUGGUCUUCACUUUCAGAAAGGGGAAUGCCACUUGCAGAGACUGACCUAGAAGCUGGGCUGGAGGCAGAGAAGAGUAUUACUUGGAACUCUGCAGACUGGUAUCUCAUCUUGCUUCUGCUACGGAUCCACAGGUGCUCUUUGGGCAGGUAACUUACCCUGCAAGGGCGUCCGUCUUCCCAGUGGUAAAAUGAAGGUAUUGAACUAGAUCAGUGGUUCUCAACCACAGGGAAGGUGAGGAGGGAUUGUUUUUCAACCACGCAACUCCCACUACACAGCAUACUUUAAUACUCUGCUACUCAAAGUGUCCUUGGACUGCCAGCAUCAGCACCAUCUGGAAGCUUGUGAAAAAUGCAGAAUCUUGGGCCCCACCUCAGACCUACUGAACAAGAAGCUGCACGCUAACAAGACUCCCAGGUAUAAAGUUUGGGAAGCACUGCUCUGAUAUACCCCCAAGUGAUAUAACCUGGUGGGGGGUUGGGAAGUCCAUCGAAGUCUCUUGAAAAACUCCACGGUUGAUUCUCAAAUGCCCUCUCCCAGGUGGGAAUAACUAGACUGUUUGGUUCCUGAGGUUCUUUUCAAAUCUACACUGCUAGGAUGCUGAGCAGUCAGGCUCACCAGGAUUAACGGGUAAAUGAAGGCCGCAUCGGGGGCUGGCCCCGUGGCCGAGCGGUUAAGUUCGCGCGCUCCGCUGCAGGCGGCCCAGUGUUUCGUUGGUUCGGGUCCUGGGCACGGACAUGACACUGCUCAUCGGACCACGCUGAGGCGGCGUCCCACAUGCCACAACUGGAAGGACCCACAACAAAGAAUAUACAGCUAUGUACCGGGGGGCUUUGGGAAGAAAAAGGAAAAAAUAAAAAAAUCUUUAAAAAAAAAAAA
rnacentral:lncRNA from 1 species